AGUGAGGGGUUCUGAGCAUUCCCAGAUGCAUUGUGAUUUCCUAUCCCAUUGGCUACAGGAUGGAGGAUAAGCAAUGGAGGUCCCAUAUCAAUAUUAUAACCCACACUCUUUACAUAUUGGUGUUGGAAUUAAAAAGUUAAAUUAUUAGUCCAUCUUGCUAUUUCCAUGACACUGUUCACUUCUGUGCAUGGUGUAGAGCAGUGGUUCCAAACACUGUCCUCAAAGCCCACCUCCAGCCCACUGCAAACAAGUUGGAAAAUUCUUAAAACCUGAACUGUUGGAGUACCAGGAGGACUGGGUUGGGAACCACUGAGGUAGAGUAAUGGGAAAAAGCUGCAUAGUUGCCUCAUGGUUAAAAGAG